rnacentral:tRNA from 1 species
GCCGGAGUAGCUCAGUUGGUAGAGCAGAGGACUGAAAAUCCUCGUGUCACCAGU